AAGUCGUAACAAGGUUUCCGUAGGUGAACCUGCGGAAGGAUCAUUACUGAAUAAACUUGGUGGGUUGUAGCUGGCUCCUUGGAGCAUGUGCACGCCUGUCAUCUUUAUACAUCCACCUGUGCACAAUCUGUAGUCUUGAGAAGUGAUGAUAUUGGCUGGUUCCUACACGGGAUUGGUCACAUUCUCUCAAGUCUAUGUGUCUUCAUAAACUACAUAGCCUGUCGCAGAAUGUAUUUAAUGGGCCUCUGUGCCUAUAAAAAACUUUAUACAACUUUCAGCAACGGAUCUCUUGGCUCUC
rnacentral:misc_RNA from 1 species